UGGGGAAUCUUGGACAAUGGGGGCAACCCUGAUCCAGCGAUGCCGCGUGGGUGAAGAAGGCCUUCGGGUUGUAAAGCCCUUUAGGCCGGGACGAAGUUUGUUGGGGGAAUAUCCCAGCAGAUUGACGGUACCGGCAGAAUAAGCACCGGCAAACUCUGUGCCAGCAGCCGCGGUAAUACAGAGGGUGCAAGCGUUAAUCGGAGUUACUGGGCGUAAAGGGCGCGUAGGCGGUUAUAUGAGUGUGAUGUGAAAGCCCUGGGCUUAACCUAGGAAGCGCAUCGCAAACGAUAUGACUGGAGUAGAUGAGAGGGUGGCGGAAUUUCCGGUGUAGCGGUGAAAUGCGUAGAGAUCGGAAGGAACGUCAAUGGCGAAGGCAGCCACCUGGCAUCAUACUGACGCUGAGGCGCGAAAGCGUGGGGAGCGAACAGG
rnacentral:rRNA from 1 species